CAGUCGCCGCGGGAAUACGAAGGUCCCGAGCGUUGUUCGGAAUCACUGGGCGUAAAGGGAGCGUAGGCGGCGUGGUAAGUCAGAUGUGAAAUCCCGGGGCUCAACCCCGGAACUGCAUCCGAUACUGCCGUGCUAGAGGAUUGGAGAGGUAGCUGGAAUUCUUGGUGUAGCAGUGAAAUGCGUGGAGAUCAAGAGGAACACUCGUGGCGAAAGCGAGCUACUGGACAAUAUCUGACGCUGAGGCUCGAAGGCCAGGGUAGCGAAAGGGAUUAGAUACCCCAGUAGUCCCUGUCUCUUAUAC
rnacentral:rRNA from 1 species